UGGGGAAUCUUGGACAAUGGGCGCAAGCCUGAUCCAGCCAUGCCGCGUGAGUGAUGAAGGCCUUAGGGUUGUAAAGCUCUUUUUGCCGGGGACGAUAAUGACGGUACCCGGAGAAUAAGUCCCGGCUAACUUCGUGCCAGCAGCCGCGGUAAUACGAAGGGGACUAGCGUUGUUCGGAAUCACUGGGCGUAAAGCGCACGUAGGCGGAUUUGUAAGUCAGGGGUGAAAUCCCGGGGCUCAACCUCGGAACUGCCUUUGAUACUGCGGAUCUCGAGUCCGAUAGAGGUGAGUGGAAUUCCUAGUGUAGAGGUGAAAUUCGUAGAUAUUAGGAAGAACACCGGUGGCGAAGGCGGCUCACUGGAUCGGUACUGACGCUGAGGUGCGAAAGCGUGGGGAGCAAACAGGAUUAGAUACCCCCGUAGUCCCUGAGCGGGCUGGCAAGGCGCAU
rnacentral:rRNA from 1 species